rnacentral:rRNA from 1 species
UACGGAGGGGGCUAGCGUUGUUCGGAAUUACUGGGCGUAAAGAGCUCGUAGGCGGCUUGUUGCGUCGACUGUGAAAACCCGCGGCUUAACUGCGGGCUUGCAGUUGAUACGGGCAGGCUAGAGUUCGGUAGGGGAGACUGGAAUUCCUGGUGUAGCGGUGAAAUGCGCAGAUAUCAGGAGGAACACCGGUGGCGAAGGCGGGUCUCUGGGCCGAUACUGACGCUGAGGAGCGAAAGCGUGGGGAGCGAACAGG